GAUGAACGCUAGCUACAGGCUUAACACAUGCAAGUCGAGGGGCAGCAUUGGAGUAGCAAUACUUCAGAUGGCGACCGGCGCACGGGUGAGUAACACGUAUCCAACCUGCCGCUUACUCGGGGAUAGCCUUUCGAAAGAAAGAUUAAUACCCGAUGGUAUAAAGAGUUCGCAUGUUCUCUUUAUUAAAGAAUUUCGGUAAGCGAUGGGGAUGCGUUCCAUUAGAUUGUUGGCGGGGUAACGGCCCACCAAGUCUACGAUGGAUAGGGGUUCUGAGAGGAAGGUCCCCCACAUUGGAACUGAGACACGGUCCAAACUCCUACGGGAGGCAGCAGUGAGGAAUAUUGGUCAAUGGACGAGAGUCUGAACCAGCCAAGUAGCGUGAAGGAUGACUGCCCUAUGGGUUGUAAACUUCUUUUAUAAGGGAAUAAAGUGAGGGACGUGUCCCUUUUUGUAUGUACCUUAUGAAUAAGGAUCGGCUAACUCCGUGCCAGCAGCCGCGGUAAUACGGAGGAUCCGAGCGUUAUCCGGAUUUAUUGGGUUUAAAGGGAGCGUAGGUUGACAUAUAAGUCAGCUGUGAAAGUUUACGGCUCAACCGUGAAAUUGCAGUUGAUACUGUAUGUCUUGAGUGUACAAGAGGUGGGCGGAAUUCGUGGUGUAGCGGUGAAAUGCUUAGAUAUCACGAAGAACUCCAAUUGCGAAGGCAGCUCACUGGGGUACAACUGACACUGAGGCUCGAAAGUGUGGGUAUCAAACAGGAUUAGAUACCCUGGUAGUCCACACAGUAAACGAUGAAUACUCGCUGUUUGCGAUAUACAGUAAGCGGCCAAGCGAAAGCAUUAAGUAUUCCACCUGGG
rnacentral:rRNA from 1 species